GGUUAAGCGACUAAGCGUACACGGUGGAUGCCCUGGCAGUCAGAGGCGAUGAAGGACGUGCUAAUCUGCGAUAAGCGUCGGUAAGGUGAUAUGAACCGUUAUAACCGGCGAUUUCCGAAUGGGGAAACCCAGUGUGAUUCGUCACACUAUCAUUAACUGAAUCCAUAGGUUAAUGAGGCGAACCGGGGGAACUGAAACAUCUAAGUACCCCGAGGAAAAGAAAUCAACCGAGAUUCCCCCAGUAGCGGCGAGCGAACGGGGAGCAGCCCAGAGCCUGAAUCAGUGUGUGUGUUAGUGGAAGCGUCUGGAAAGGCGCGCGAUACAGGGUGACAGCCCCGUACACAAAAAUGCACAUGCUGUGAGCUCGAUGAGUAGGGCGGGACACGUGGUAUCCUGUCUGAAUAUGGGGGGACCAUCCUCCAAGGCUAAAUACUCCUGACUGACCGAUAGUGAACCAGUACCGUGAGGGAAAGGCGAAAAGAACCCCGGCGAGGGGAGUGAAAAAGAACCUGAAACCGUGUACGUACAAGCAGUGGGAGCACAGAGCAAUCUGUGUGACUGCGUACCUUUUGUAUAAUGGGUCAGCGACUUAUAUUCUGUAGCAAGGUUAACCGAAUAGGGGAGCCGAAGGGAAACCGAGUCUUAACUGGGCGUUAAGUUGCAGGGUAUAGACCCGAAACCCGGUGAUCUAGCCAUGGGCAGGUUGAAGGUUGGGUAACACUAACUGGAGGACCGAACCGACUAAUGUUGAAAAAUUAGCGGAUGACUUGUGGCUGGGGGUGAAAGGCCAAUCAAACCGGGAGAUAGCUGGUUCUCCCCGAAAGCUAUUUAGGUAGCGCCUCGUGAAUUCAUCUCCGGGGGUAGAGCACUGUUUCGGCAAGGGGGUCAUCCCGACUUACCAACCCGAUGCAAACUGCGAAUACCGGAGAAUGUUAUCACGGGAGACACACGGCGGGUGCUAACGUCCGUCGUGAAGAGGGAAACAACCCAGACCGCCAGCUAAGGUCCCAAAGUCAUGGUUAAGUGGGAAACGAUGUGGGAAGGCCCAGACAGCCAGGAUGUUGGCUUAGAAGCAGCCAUCAUUUAAAGAAAGCGUAAUAGCUCACUGGUCGAGUCGGCCUGCGCGGAAGAUGUAACGGGGCUAAACCAUGCACCGAAGCUGCGGCAGCGACGCUUAUGCGUUGUUGGGUAGGGGAGCGUUCUGUAAGCCUGUGAAGGUGUGCUGUGAGGCAUGCUGGAGGUAUCAGAAGUGCGAAUGCUGACAUAAGUAACGAUAAAGCGGGUGAAAAGCCCGCUCGCCGGAAGACCAAGGGUUCCUGUCCAACGUUAAUCGGGGCAGGGUGAGUCGACCCCUAAGGCGAGGCCGAAAGGCGUAGUCGAUGGGAAACAGGUUAAUAUUCCUGUACUUGGUGUUACUGCGAAGGGGGGACGGAGAAGGCUAUGUUGGCCGGGCGACGGUUGUCCCGGUUUAAGCGUGUAGGCUGGUUUUCCAGGCAAAUCCGGAAAAUCAAGGCUGAGGCGUGAUGACGAGGCACUACGGUGCUGAAGCAACAAAUGCCCUGCUUCCAGGAAAAGCCUCUAAGCAUCAGGUAACAUCAAAUCGUACCCCAAACCGACACAGGUGGUCAGGUAGAGAAUACCAAGGCGCUUGAGAGAACUCGGGUGAAGGAACUAGGCAAAAUGGUGCCGUAACUUCGGGAGAAGGCACGCUGAUAUGUAGGUGAGGUCCCUCGCGGAUGGAGCUGAAAUCAGUCGAAGAUACCAGCUGGCUGCAACUGUUUAUUAAAAACACAGCACUGUGCAAACACGAAAGUGGACGUAUACGGUGUGACGCCUGCCCGGUGCCGGAAGGUUAAUUGAUGGGGUUAGCGGUAACGCGAAGCUCUUGAUCGAAGCCCCGGUAAACGGCGGCCGUAACUAUAACGGUCCUAAGGUAGCGAAAUUCCUUGUCGGGUAAGUUCCGACCUGCACGAAUGGCGUAAUGAUGGCCAGGCUGUCUCCACCCGAGACUCAGUGAAAUUGAACUCGCUGUGAAGAUGCAGUGUACCCGCGGCAAGACGGAAAGACCCCGUGAACCUUUACUAUAGCUUGACACUGAACAUUGAGCCUUGAUGUGUAGGAUAGGUGGGAGGCUUUGAAGUGUGGACGCCAGUCUGCAUGGAGCCGGCCUUGAAAUACCACCCUUUAAUGUUUGAUGUUCUAACGUUGGCCCCUGAUCGGGGUUGCGGACAGUGUCUGGUGGGUAGUUUGACUGGGGCGGUCUCCUCCUAAAGAGUAACGGAGGAGCACGAAGGUUGGCUAAUCCUGGUCGGACAUCAGGAGGUUAGUGCAAUGGCAUAAGCCAGCUUGACUGCGAGCGUGACGGCGCGAGCAGGUGCGAAAGCAGGUCAUAGUGAUCCGGUGGUUCUGAAUGGAAGGGCCAUCGCUCAACGGAUAAAAGGUACUCCGGGGAUAACAGGCUGAUACCGCCCAAGAGUUCAUAUCGACGGCGGUGUUUGGCACCUCGAUGUCGGCUCAUCACAUCCUGGGGCUGAAGUAGGUCCCAAGGGUAUGGCUGUUCGCCAUUUAAAGUGGUACGCGAGCUGGGUUUAGAACGUCGUGAGACAGUUCGGUCCCUAUCUGCCGUGGGCGCUGGAGAACUGAGGGGGGCUGCUCCUAGUACGAGAGGACCGGAGUGGACGCAUCACUGGUGUUCGGGUUGUCAUGCCAAUGGCACUGCCCGGUAGCUAAAUGCGGAAGAGAUAAGUGCUGAAAGCAUCUAAGCACGAAACUUGCCCCGAGAUGAGUUCUCCCUGACCCUUUAAGGGGCCUGAAGGAACGUUGAAGACGACGACGUUGAUAGGCCGGGUGUGUAAGCGCAGCGAUGCGUUGAGCUAACCGGUACUAAUGAACCGUGAGGCUUAACCUU
rnacentral:rRNA from 1 species